rnacentral:tRNA from 2 species
UGGGGUAUAGCCAAGCGGUAAGGCAUCAGACUUUGACUCUGACAUUUCUCUGGUUCGAUUCCAGAUACCCCAGCCA